CCGCGAGCCGCGAGAUCACAGCUUCUUUUUUCUCCUUCGAACUAAAUAAGUGACAGCUUGGCGUCUACCUUGACACGUAAGAACUAGAGUACAAGGCCAGAACAGGAAGACAUCCGGACGACAAAGUGCUGCUACAAGCCCUUCGAAGUGCCGUCGCAGCUCGGGCUGCCCAGUUGUGCCCGCAGACUCUACCGAUUGACUGGUCAGCUGCCGGGUCCGCUCGAAGACCUUGCCGAAGGGAACUGGAAGAACGCGACGGCUUCUGGAAAUCUUAGAUGCACCAGACUGCGAGCCUAAAACAAGAAUGGACCCAGGGCUGAAGAAAGAGGGUUGGGAACGCGACGACGGGGUUGGUACCCCGGACAGUCCUUCUGCCAGAAGUCUCAAAGGCCCCUCCGACCGCUGCUCAACGGAGUCGACCCGGAGGCACACGUCCACGCUCGAAGAGAGCUCGAUGGGUCAGUCUCAAAGUUACGGCGCAAGAAAGAAGGCAGCUGUCUGCCAAAAGCCGCCACCCUCAUCGUCCGGGAAAACCCACACAAUAGACAAGGCCAUCAAGAGUGGUGCCGUCAUACCGGCAUGGUGGAACGGCCGCCAUGACGUACGCAGGCCUGGGGUUCAACUUGGCCAGGCAGGCACUGCGUUCAGUGGCCCUGCGUGGACGCGCGCUGGACGCAGCAGGCCGCAACACCUCGUGGUGGCAGCUGGGCAAGCCGGGAGAAAGCCCCUUCAGGUUGGACGUCGCCGGGUCUGUCGCCGA